UACGGGGGGGGCAAGCGUUGUUCGGAAUUACUGGGCGUAAAGGGCUCGUAGGCGGCCAACUAAGUCAGACGUGAAAUCCCUCGGCUUAACCGGGGAACUGCGUCUGAUACUGGAUGGCUUGAGGUUGGGAGAGGGAUGCGGAAUUCCAGGUGUAGCGGUGAAAUGCGUAGAUAUCUGGAGGAACACCGGUGGACGAAGGCGGAGAUCCUGGACCAAUCUGACGCUGAGGAGCGAAAGCCAGGGGAGCAAACGGG
rnacentral:rRNA from 1 species